rfam:Thermoplasmatales archaeon SG8-52-1 WOR_8-12_201, whole genome shotgun sequence.
AGCCCUGUGGUGUAGCGGCAACAUUCUAGCCUUUGGAGCUAGCGUCCCCAGUUCAAAUCUGGGCAGGGCUG